CUCUCACAAGAGGUAAGUCUUUGUUGUAUGAUUUGGUUAAAAAAGAAUUAAUAAGUUGAUACUCUGCUUCUGUUACCUUCCAGAACUUUCCGAAAAUAGUUUCUCACUUUGAUUUCAUACAAUUAAAAAUGAGUCUUCCGUUGGUGGAGGCAAAUUAAAAGUUCAAGAGUAAACUGAAACACUGCUGAGAUAGGCUACAUACUACAUGGAACCAGAUCCCAAUCGAGAAAUUCCAACUAAAUAGUCCAGGAACUUUCCGAAAAUAGUUUCUCACUUUGAUUUCAUACAAUUAGAAAUGAGUCCUCCAUUGGUGGAGGCAAGUUAAAAGUUCAAGAGUAAUCGGAAACACUGAGAUAGGCUACAUACUACAAAGAACCAGAUCCCAAUCGAGAAAUUCCAACUCAAUAGUCCAUGACUUAAACUUGAAUGGUGAAUGUGAGCACCUGUAUCAUUCUGGGUUCUGCCAAGAAGACCCCAAUACCAACUCCCAUGGACUGACCAUUUCAUCGUGGAUCUGGGAAUGGAAUACUGUCAUUCAGCAGAGAAUGGUCCAGCCAUGAACAAACGAUCCUCAGUACCCACUCCAGUAGUACUUGCACGGAAAGAACGUCGGAGUCACUCACCAUUUGAACGUGACACCUGUUUGGCGAAAAGGGCUACCUGGCCGUGUUGUAGCCAUCGCCAGUAUAUCAGCAUACGACACUUUUGUGAUUGACAUCACAUUUGGUUGAAGCUAACAAGUAGCAAGCUACAAAAGCAUCACAUCAGUUUAUGUGAAUUAAAACUUAAAAGAGCUUUCUCAUCAUUUAUAACCAAGAUGCAGCGUGAAGAGAUACAGCUGGAAGCCGCUUUGGAAGCUUUGCUUCAGAGAAUUAUUGACCUGAAGACUUCUAUUCGAACUCUGUUAUUUCGAUUGGAAAACGAGUAUGGAUCCCUCAGUUGGCCUUCUG